rnacentral:rRNA from 1 species
AGCGAACGCUGGCGGAAUGCUUAACACAUGCAAGUCUCACGGGCAGCAAUGUCAGUGGCGGACGGGUGAGUAACGCGUAGGAAUGUGUCCUGUGGUGGGGGAUAACGUCGGGAAACUGGCGCUAAUACCGCAUAUGUCCUGAGGGGCAAAGCAGCAAUGCGCCAUUGGAGCAGCCUGCGUCCGAUUAGCUUGUUGGUGGGGUAAAGGCUUACCAAGGCGACGAUCGGUAGCUGGUCUGAGAGGAUGAUCAGCCACACUGGAACUGAGACACGGUCCAGACUCCUACGGGAGGCAGCAGUGGGGAAUAUUGGACAAUGGGCGAAAGCCUGAUCCAGCAAUUCCGCGUGGGUGAAGAAGGUCUUCGGAUUGUAAAGCCCUUUCGACGGGGACGAUGAUGACGGUACCCGUAGAAGAAGCCCCGGCUAGCUUCGUGCCAGCCGCCGCGGUAACAC